rnacentral:rRNA from 1 species
AUAUCAAUAAGCGGAGGAAAAGAAACCAACAGGGAUUGCCCCAGUAACGGCGAGUGAAGCGGCAAUAGCUCAAAUUUGAAAUCUGGCCCUUUCAGGGUCCGAGUUGUAAUUUGCAGAGGGCGCUUUGGAGUCGGCAGCAGCCUAAGUUCCUUGGAACAGGUCAUCAUAGAGGGUGAGAAUCCCGUAUGUGGUUGCAUGUCUUCGCCGUGUAAAGCCCCUUCGAUGAGUCGAGUUGUUUGGGAAUGCAGCUCUAAAUGGGAGGUAAAUUUCUUCUAAAGCUAAAUAUUGGCCAGAGACCGAUAGCGCACAAGUAGAGUGAUCGAAAGAUGAAAAGCACUUUGGAAAGAGAGUCAAAAAGCACGUGAAAUUGUUGAAAGGGAAGCGCUUGCAGCCAGACGUGCCCGCAGUUGCUCAUCCAGAGCUUCUCCUGGUGCACUCUUCUGUGGGCAGGCCAGCAUCAGUUCGGGCGGUUGGAGAAAGACCUGUGUCAUGUGUCCGCUCUCGGGCGGUGUUAUAGGGCAGGUGGAAUACAGCCAGCUCGAACUGAGGUCCGCGCAUCUGCUAGGAUGCUGGCGUAAUGGCUGUAAGCGGCCCGUCUUGAAACACGGACCAAGGAGUCUAACAUCUAUGCGAGUGUUUGGGUGUCAAGCCCGAGCGCGUAAUGAAAGUGAACGGAGGUGGGAACCCCUCGGGGCGCACCAUCGACCGAUCCUGAUGUCUUCGGAUGGAUUUGAGUAAGAGCAUAGCUGUUGGGACCCGAAAGAUGGUGAACUAUGCCUGAAUAGGGUGAAGCCAGAGGAAACUCUGGUGGAGGCUCGCAGCGGUUCUGACGUGCAAAUCGAUCGUCAAAUUUGGGCAUAGGGGCGAAAGACUAAUCGAACUAUCUAGUAGCUGGUUCCUGCCAAAGUUUCCCUCAGGAUAGCAGUAACGUUUUCAGUUUUAUGAGGUAAAGCGAAUGAUUAGAGGCCUGGGGGUUGAAACAACCUUCACC